CUGGGACUGAGAUACGGCCCAGACUCCUACGGGAGGCAGCAGUAGGGAAUAUUGCGCAAUGGUCGCAAGACUGACGCAGCAACGCCGCGUGGGUGAUGAAGUUUUUCGGAAUGUAAAACCCUUUCAGUGGGGAAGAAUAGCCUUCGGGCCUGACGGUACCCACAGAAGAAGUCCCGGCCAACUCCGUGCCAGCAGCCGCGGUAACACGGGGGGGACAAGCGUUGUUCGGAUUUACUGGGCGUAAAGCGCUCGUAGGCGGUCUCACAAGUCGGAUGUGAAAACCGAAGGCUCAACCAUCGGCCUGCAUCUGAAACUGUGAGUCUAGAGUACUGGAGAGGAUGGCGGAAUUCCUGGUGUAGCGGUGAAAUGCGUAGAUAUCAGGAGGAACAUCGGCGGCGAAGGCGGCCAUCUGGACAGAUACUGACGCUGAGGGGCGAAGGUUAGGGUAGCAAACAGGAUUAGAUACCCUGGUAGUCCUAACGGUAAACGAUGGGCACUAGGUGUUGGCGGUAUCGACCCCGCCAGUGCCGCAGCUAACGCAUUAAGUGCCCCGCCUGGGGAGUACGGUCGCAAGAUUGAAACUCAAAGGAAUUGACGGGACCCCGCACAAGCGGUGGAGUAUGUGGUUUAAUUCGACAACACGAAGAACCUUACCUGGACUUGACAUAUGUUGGAAAGCCACAGAGAUGUGGCCCCCUCUUCGGAGGUCGAUAUACAGGUGCUGCAUGGCUGUCGUCAGCUCGUGCCGUGAGGUGUUGGGUUAAGUCCCGCAACGAGCGCAACCCUUGUCCUUAGUUGCCAUCAGGUUAUGCUGGGAACUCUAAGGAGACUGCCGGUGACAAGCCGGAGGAAGGUGGGGAUGACGUCAAGUCCUCAUGGCCCUUACGUCCAGGGCUACACACGUACUACAAUGGCCGGUAUAAUAGGUUGCAAUAUCGUGAGAUGGAGCCAAUCCCUAAAGCCGGCCUCAGUUCAGAUUGAAGUCUGCAACUCGACUUCAUGAAGGUGGAAUCGCUAGUAAUCGUAGAUCAGCAGGCUACGGUGAAUACGUUCCCGGGGUUUGUACACACCGCCCGUCAAGCCAUGGGAGUGGGGGGUGCCCGAAGUCGCCAAUCUAACCUUCGGGAUGAUGGCGCCUAAGGUAAAACCCACGACUGGGGCUAAGUCGAAACAAGGUAGCCGUAGCGGAAGCUGCGGCUG
rnacentral:rRNA from 1 species